rnacentral:sRNA from 1 species
AUUUAGCCCUGAUAACAGCUGAAAUCAUUUUUUGAGAAAGCCUAUUUUUUCCUGACUGAACAGAGCGACCAACGGAAGCUCCUGAGCAGUCUUGGAAAAAAAGGAUUUGGAGAAAAAUAUUGAAGCGGAUAGCAGGAUUAGCU